AGGCAUCGGCUAGAGAAU
rnacentral:sRNA from 1 species